rnacentral:rRNA from 1 species
UACGAAGGGGGCUAGCGUUGCCCGGAAUUACUGGGCGUAAAGCGCACGUAGGCGGCUUUCUAAGUCUGGGGUGAAAUCCUGGAGCUCAACUCCAGAACUGCCUUCGAUACUGGAGAGCUCGAGUCCGGGAGAGGUGAGUGGAACUGCGAGUGUAGAGGUGAAAUUCGUAGAUAUUCGCAAGAACACCAGUGGCGAAGGCGGCUCACUGGCCCGGUACUGACGCUGAGGUACGAAAGCGUGGGGAGCAAACAGG